UGCCUACGGGGGGCAGCAGUGGGGAAUAUUGCACAAUGGGCGAAAGCCUGAUGCAGCAACGCCGCGUGAAGGAAGAAGGGUUUCGGCUCGUAAACUUCUAUCAACAGGGACGAAAGAAAUGACGGUACCUGAAUAAGAAGCCCCGGCUAACUACGUGCCAGCAGCCGCGGUAAUACGUAUGGGGCCAGCGUUGUUCGGAAUGACUGGGCGUAAAGGGUGUGUAGGCGGGGUAGCAAGUUAGAAGUGAAAUACCUAGAGCUUAA
rnacentral:rRNA from 1 species